CCUACGGGUGGCUGCAGUGGGGAAUAUUGGGCAAUGGGCGCAAGCCUGACCCAGCAACGCCGCGUGAAGGAAGAAGGCUUUCGGGUUGUAAACUUCUUUUCUGAGGGACGAGGAAAGUAACGGUACCUCAGGAAUAAGCCACGGCUAACUACGUGCCAGCAGCCGCGGUAAUACGUAGGUGGCAAGCGUUAUCCGGAUUUAUUGGGUGUAAAGGGCGUGUAGGCGGGAUAGCAAGUCAGAUGUGAAAACUCAGGGCUCAACCCCGAGCCUGCAUUUGAAACUGUUUGUCUUGAGUGCUGGAGAGGCAAGCGGAAUUCCGUGGGUAGCGGUGAAAUGCGUAGAUAUAAGGAGGAACACCAGUGGCGAAGGCGGACUGCUGGACAGUAACUGACGGUGAGGCGCGAAAGCGUGGGGAGCAAACAGGAUUAGAUACCCGAGUAGUC
rnacentral:rRNA from 1 species